CUCCUCGCCCCCCUCUUCGUCCUCUCCCUCGUUACCCACGAGCUCUCCCGCCACUCUGCCCUUGCUGCCCACUUCGAGGGCUUCGAUUCCGACGACCUCGACGAGGCCGAAGACCUCUCCUCCUCCGACGAAGUCCCCCUUGCUGCCUCCCCUCCUCCUCCUCCCGCCACCUCCCUCUCGCGAUCGGCCUCCCCAGAGUCCCACCAUGGGCCCCCCUCCGCUCCUAAACCCCCGCCAUCGUCCGAUCUCUGGGACGAGGACGAGUUCGAGGGCAUACCCGUCGCCGUCCAAUCGGCCGAUCCGGCGGCUGCCCCGGC
rnacentral:lncRNA from 1 species